rnacentral:snRNA from 1 species
CCCUACAUUUUCUAGAGGCAGGA